GAACGCUGGCGGCGUGCUUAACACAUGCAAGUCGAACGGAAAGGCCCUGCUUUUGUGGGGUGCUCGAGUGGCGAACGGGUGAGUAACACGUGAGUAACCUGCCCUUGACUUUGGGAUAACUUCAGGAAACUGGGGCUAAUACCGGAUAGGAGCUCCUGCUGCAUGGUGGGGGUUGGAAAGUUUCGGCGGUUGGGGAUGGACUCGCGGCUUAUCAGCUUGUUGGUGGGGUAGUGGCUUACCAAGGCUUUGACGGGUAGCCGGCCUGAGAGGGUGACCGGCCACAUUGGGACUGAGAUACGGCCCAGACUCCUACGGGAGGCAGCAGUGGGGAAUAUUGCACAAUGGGCGGAAGCCUGAUGCAGCAACGCCGCGUGCGGGAUGACGGCCUUCGGGUUGUAAACCGCUUUCGCCUGUGACGAAGCGUGAGUGACGGUAAUGGGUAAAGAAGCACCGGCUAACUACGUGCCAGCAGCCGCGGUGAUACGUAGGGUGCGAGCGUUGUCCGGAUUUAUUGGGCGUAAAGGGCUCGUAGGUGGUUGAUCGCGUCGGAAGUGUAAUCUUGGGGCUUAACCCUGAGCGUGCUUUCGAUACGGGUUGACUUGAGGAAGGUAGGGGAGAAUGGAAUUCCUGGUGGAGCGGUGGAAUGCGCAGAUAUCAGGAGGAACACCAGUGGCGAAGGCGGUUCUCUGGGCCUUUCCUGACGCUGAGGAGCGAAAGCGUGGGGAGCGAACAGGCUUAGAUACCCUGGUAGUCCACGCUGUAAACGGUGGGUACUAGGUGUGGGGUCCCAUUCCACGGGUUCCGUGCCGUAGCUAACGCUUUAAGUACCCCGCCUGGGGAGUACGGCCGCAAGGCUAAAACUCAAAGGAAUUGACGGGGCCCCGCACAAGCGGCGGAGCAUGCGGAUUAAUUCGAUGCAACGCGUAGAACCUUACCUGGGUUUGACAUGGAUCGGGAGCGCUCAGAGAUGGGUGUGCCUCUUUUGGGGUCGGUUCACAGGUGGUGCAUGGCUGUCGUCAGCUCGUGUCGUGAGAUGUUGGGUUAAGUCCCGCAACGAGCGCAACCCUUGUUCACUGUUGCCAGCACGUUAUGGUGGGGACUCAGUGGAGACCGCCGGGGUCAACUCGGAGGAAGGUGGGGAUGACGUCAAGUCAUCAUGCCCCUUAUGUCCAGGGCUUCACGCAUGCUACAAUGGCUGGUACAGAGAGUGGCGAGCCUGUGAGGGUGAGCGAAUCUCGGAAAGCCGGUCUCAGUUCGGAUUGGGGUCUGCAACUCGACCUCAUGAAGUCGGAGUCGCUAGUAAUCGCAGAUCAGCAACGCUGCGGUGAAUACGUUCCCGGGGCUUGUACACACCGCCCGUCAAGUCAUGAAAGUUGGUAACACCCGAAGCCGGUGGCCUAACCGUUGUGGGGGAGCCGUCGAAGGUGGGACUGGUGAUU
rnacentral:rRNA from 1 species